GAUGAAUGCCAGGCUGGGAAAACCUGCAGGAGCCUGGCAGUGCCCAGAAGUGCCUAGGUGUUGUGAGAUUGGACAGAGAUCUUGUACCCAAGAUUUGCAGAUUAGCAGAAGUCUCAUGAUCUGCCUCUUUCCUGGUAUGCUGGAGACACUGCUAAAAAUAGAGCAGCAAGACCCAGAGCCUUAAGACAGAGCAAGCUUGUUACAGGACACGUUCUGGCAAGUACAGGAUGCUAAAAAUGAACUCAAAAAACUUGCUUUCAGGC
rnacentral:lncRNA from 1 species